GCAUUGGGGGCGCAACGCCCUCG
rnacentral:siRNA from 1 species